CAAGGAAUAGUUUAACUUAGAAUCCUAGCUUUGGGAGUUAGGGGCGGGAGUUAGAAUCUCCCUUCCUUGA
rnacentral:tRNA from 1 species